rfam:Tatumella morbirosei strain LMG 23360 Contig3, whole genome shotgun sequence.
GGUUAAGCGAAUAAGCGUACACGGUGGAUGCCCUGGCAGUCAGAGGCGAUGAAGGACGUGCUAAUCUGCGAAAAGCGCCGGUAAGGUGAUAUGAACCGAUACAGCCGGCGAUGUCCGAAUGGGGAAACCCGGUGCACUCAGUGCAUCAUCGCAACAUGAAUACAUAGUGUUGCGAGGCGAACCGGGGGAACUGAAACAUCUAAGUACCCCGAGGAAAAGAAAUCAACCGAGAUUCCCCCAGUAGCGGCGAGCGAACGGGGAGCAGCCCUGAACCAUCAUCAGUGUGUGUGUUAGUGGAAGCGUCCGGAAUGGCGCACGAUACAGGGUGAAAGUCCCGUACAUGAAAAUGCACAUACUGUGAGUUCGAAGAGUAGGGCGGGACACGUGGUAUCCUGUCUGAAUAUGGGGGGACCAUCCUCCAAGGCUAAAUACUCCUGACUGACCGAUAGUGAACCAGUACCGUGAGGGAAAGGCGAAAAGAACCCCGGCGAGGGGAGUGAAAAGAACCUGAAACCGUGUACGUACAAGCAGUGGGAGCACCCUUUGGGGUGUGACUGCGUACCUUUUGUAUAAUGGGUCAGCGACUUAUAUUCUGUAGCAAGGUUAACCGUAUAGGGGAGCCGCAGGGAAACCGAGUCUUAACUGGGCGUUAAGUUGCAGGGUAUAGACCCGAAACCCGGUGAUCUAGCCAUGGGCAGGUUGAAGGUUGGGUAACACUAACUGGAGGACCGAACCGACUAAUGUUGAAAAAUUAGCGGAUGACCUGUGGCUGGGGGUGAAAGGCCAAUCAAACCGGGAGAUAGCUGGUUCUCCCCGAAAGCUAUUUAGGUAGCGCCUCGUGAACUCAUCUCCGGGGGUAGAGCACUGUUUCGGCUAGGGGGCCAUCCCGGCUUACCAACCCGAUGCAAACUGCGAAUACCGGAGAAUGUUAUCACGGGAGACACACGGCGGGUGCUAACGUCCGUCGUGAAGAGGGAAACAACCCAGACCGCCAGCUAAGGUCCCAAAGUCAUGGUUAAGUGGGAAACGAUGUGGGAAGGCUCAGACAGCCAGGAUGUUGGCUUAGAAGCAGCCAUCAUUUAAAGAAAGCGUAAUAGCUCACUGGUCGAGUCGGCCUGCGCGGAAGAUGUAACGGGGCUAAACCAUGCACCGAAGCUGCGGCAGCGACACUAUGUGUUGUUGGGUAGGGGAGCGUUCUGUAAGCCGUUGAAGGUGGACUGUGAGGUCUGCUGGAGGUAUCAGAAGUGCGAAUGCUGACAUAAGUAACGAUAAAGCGGGUGAAAAGCCCGCUCGCCGGAAGACCAAGGGUUCCUGUCCAACGUUAAUCGGGGCAGGGUGAGUCGACCCCUAAGGCGAGGCUGAAAAGCGUAGUCGAUGGGAAACAGGUUAAUAUUCCUGUACUUGGUGUUACUGCGAAGGGGGGACGGAGAAGGCUAUGUCAUCCGGGCGACGGUUGUCCCGGUUUAAGCGUGUAGGCUGAGAUUCCAGGCAAAUCCGGAAUCUCUUAAGGCUGAGGCGUGAUGACGAGGUGCUACGGCACUGAAGUGACAAAUGCCCUGCUUCCGGGAAAAGCCUCUAAGCUCCAGGUAACACGAAAUCGUACCCCAAACCGACACAGGUGGUCAGGUAGAGAAUACCAAGGCGCUUGAGAGAACUCGGGUGAAGGAACUAGGCAAAAUGGUGCCGUAACUUCGGGAGAAGGCACGCUGGCGCGUAGGUGAAGGGACUUGCUCCCGGAGCUGAAGCCAGUCGAAGAUACCAGCUGGCUGCAACUGUUUAUUAAAAACACAGCACUGUGCAAACACGAAAGUGGACGUAUACGGUGUGACGCCUGCCCGGUGCCGGAAGGUUAAUUGAUGGGGUUAUCGCUCUGCGAGAAGCUCCUGAUCGAAGCCCCGGUAAACGGCGGCCGUAACUAUAACGGUCCUAAGGUAGCGAAAUUCCUUGUCGGGUAAGUUCCGACCUGCACGAAUGGCGUAAUGAUGGCCAGGCUGUCUCCACCCGAGACUCAGUGAAAUUGAAAUCGCUGUGAAGAUGCAGUGUACCCGCGGCAAGACGGAAAGACCCCGUGAACCUUUACUAUAGCUUGACACUGAAUAUUGAGCCUUGAUGUGCAGGAUAGGUGGGAGGCACUGAAGUACGGACGCCAGUUCGUACGGAGCCAUCCUUGAAAUACCACCCUUUAAUGUUUGAUAUUCUAACGUGGACCCGUUAUCCGGGUUGCGGACAGUGUCUGGUGGGUAGUUUGACUGGGGCGGUCUCCUCCCAAAGAGUAACGGAGGAGCACGAAGGUUAGCUAAUCACGGUCGGACAUCGUGAGGUUAGUGCAAAGGCAUAAGCUAGCUUGACUGCGAGAGUGACGGUUCGAGCAGGUGCGAAAGCAGGUCUUAGUGAUCCGGUGGUUCUGAAUGGAAGGGCCAUCGCUCAACGGAUAAAAGGUACUCCGGGGAUAACAGGCUGAUACCGCCCAAGAGUUCAUAUCGACGGCGGUGUUUGGCACCUCGAUGUCGGCUCAUCACAUCCUGGGGCUGAAGUAGGUCCCAAGGGUACGGCUGUUCGCCGUUUAAAGUGGUACGCGAGCUGGGUUUAGAACGUCGUGAGACAGUUCGGUCCCUAUCUGCCGUGGGCGCUGGAGAAUUGAGGGGGGUUGCUCCUAGUACGAGAGGACCGGAGUGAACGCACCACUGGUGUUCGGGUUGUCAUGCCAAUGGCAUUGCCCGGUAGCUAAGUGCGGAAAAGAUAAGUGCUGAAAGCAUCUAAGCACGAAACUUGCCCCGAGAUGAGUUCUCCCUGACCCUUUAAGGGUCCUGAAGGGACGUUGAAGACGACGACGUUGAUAGGCCGGAUGUGUAAGUGCAGCGAUGCAUUGAGCUAACCGGUACUAAUGACCCGUGAGGCUUAACCUU